rnacentral:misc_RNA from 1 species
CGCACAUUGCGCCCCCUGGUAUUCCGGGGGGCAUGCCUGUUCGAGCGUCAUUUCACCACUCAAGCCUCGCUUGGUAUUGGGCAUCGCGGUCAGCCGCGUGCCUUAAAUCGACCGGCUGGGUCUACCGUCCCCUAAGCGUUGUGGAAACUAUUCGCUAAAGGUGGUCUGGUAGUUCACGCCGUGAAAACAAACCAAUUUUUAAGGUUGACCUCGGAUCAGGUAGGGAUACCCGCUGAACUUAA